rnacentral:rRNA from 1 species
GAUGAGCGCUGGCGGCGUGCCUAAUACAUGCAAGUCGAGCGAACGGACGAUAAGCUUUCUUCUCUUAUGUUUUCGGCUGACGUGUGUGUAACACGUGUAUAACCUACCUUUUUUUCUUGUAUAACUUCGUGAAACCGUAUCUUAUACCGUUUAAUAUUUUGAACCUCAUUGUUCCAAAGUGUAUGACGGUCUUUCUUUCUCUUUUCGAUGUUUCCGCGCUGCAUUAGCUAGUUGGUAAGGUAACGGCUUACCAAGGCAACGAUGCAUAGCCGAACUGAGAGGGAGAUCGGACACACUGGAACUGAGACACGGAACAGAGGACUACGGGAGGCAGAAGAAGGGAAUAUUACGAAAUGGGCGAAAGCAUGACGGAGCAAAGCCGCGUGAGUGAUGAAGGAGUUAGGAUCGUAAAACUCUGUUAUUAGGGAAGAAAAUAUGUGUAAGUAAAAGUGCACAUAAUGACGGUACCUAAUAAGAAAGCAACGGCUAACUACGUG